rnacentral:lncRNA from 1 species
CCGGCCUAUUUAUUUUCUUCCAGGCAAAUGAAACUUUUAAAAAUCAGCUCUUCCUGUUAAUGUUAGCUAUUUUGCAUAAUCAGAAGAAUCUGAAAGAUUAUAAAAAUAAGAUUAAGCCACCCAAGAACGUGGGAGUUUCCCAAAGUUCUCUAUGAUGGGGCAACUUAGAUCUGCAUCCCCAAGAGGCCCGAGUUGCUUUAACCCUUAUGGACUGAGGUGGCUGCAGUUCCAGUUCCAGUUAUCAGGUAUGGAGUUUUCACCAAAAGAUGGCUUGAAUCCCUGGGUCCUAGAUAAUAUUCUUUUCUGUCCUAUUACCUGCAUUGUGUAGUAGGAAACCUAGUUUCUCCUAGUAAUUGGGUCAAUUUUCCUUAAUAAGAUUUCACAAGUGGAUCAUUGAGAAUGAUAGUGAAAAGAACCAAUCUGAUUUCUACCCAUUGAUUCUUGGAUCUAUAUAUUCUAGCUAUAGAGGAUCUACACUGUUGGUUCUUUAUAUACUGCAUGCUGGAGGUUGCAGUCUAACCUUAUAUGGUAUUAUGCUAAAGCUAGCACCUUAAAUGCAGCUUUAAUAGGCCCUUCCAUUAUUCUACUGCUGGCUGUCUCUGGAUGAUCAAGUACAGUGCAAGACCAAUCAGUCUCAUAGACAUGUGCCCAUUAUCAUAUUCUCUUUUACUAUCAGAUAGGUCCCUUAGUCUGAGGCAAUGUUGGUGGGAUCCCAUACUGGCA